CGGCGUGCCUAAUACAUGCAAGUCGAACGCAUUGUGUUGAAUGAUAUGUAAGAACUUGUUCAGAUUGAUUUCAACAUUGCAAUGAGUGGCGAACGGGUGAGUAACACGUGGGAAACCUACCUCUUAGCAGGGGAUAACAUUGGAAACAAAUGCUAAUACCGUAUAAUAAUUAAAACCGCAUGGUUUUAGUUUAAAAGAUGGUCUUGCUAUCACUAAGAGAUGGUCCCGCGGUGUAUUAGUUAGUUGGUGAGGUAAUGGCUCACCAAGACAAUGAUACAUAGCCGAGUUGAGAGACUGACCGGCCACAAUGGGACUGAGACACGGCCCAUACUCCUACGGGAGGCAGCAGUAGGGAAUCUUCCACAAUGGACGAAAGUCUGAUGGAGCAACGCCGCGUGUGUGAUGAAGGGUUUCGGCUCGUAAAACACUGUUGUAAGAGAAGAAUGACAUUGAGAGUAACUGUUCAAUGUGUGACGGUAUCUUACCAGAAAGGAACGGCUAAAUACGUG
rnacentral:rRNA from 1 species